GUAUGGAUAAAAGUCCACAUGCAGGAAUUUAUUGCAUUUUGCUGAUCAUUUUUUCCCAACAUAUAUUGAGCAACAAAAUAAACAGAUGCCCAGAGCUUCGUACGUUUGCAAAACCUGUUGACAAAUGUCCUUCUCAUAAAGAAGAAUGGAAAAGAGCAUCAGAGAUGAAGAACUGCGAAUCAUUAUCAAUGAAUUGUACAAGAAAAUACGCUUAUCACUGUCUAAAUGAUGAGUGGUUAGAUAAAAUGUACGAGGUCUGUGCGCCACCAGUUAUCAUAAUCGGUUGCUGUCCAGAAUACAACACAGCUGGUGAUGUCAUACAAGGAAAUUUUCUAAUUGAUUGUACAAAGUUUGAUUUUCCGUGUCCAAAGGUUUAUAAUUCUACAGAUAUUUACAAAUAUCAGAAAUGCUAUGGAAUCACGGUUGAAGAAAUAUUGUCCGAUUAUGAAGCUGCUCAUAAACAAAUUAUGACACCAAUUUCAGCAACACAAAUACCAACCUUGCCUUUAUUACUAAGACGAGGAAUAAGGAA